rnacentral:misc_RNA from 1 species
AGUACGCGCAUGUGCUGGUUUGUCAGUCUCCUCAUGAUACAUAUGAAUAUCUCGAUUGAUGAAAAUGCUUUGAAGAACUUUAACAACCUCUACUGACACAUACAAGGAGAUGGGGAUGAAGUAGGUAUAAAGCAAUAUGGCAGUCAGAAAAUGAAGAAGUGCUGCAACCGCUGCUUUAUUAGGAUCAAAGUAUAUUUCAGAAUCAUCUGGUCUGAGAUACCACCUUUUCAUCCUGCCAUUUUC